GAAAGAACACACAAUAGAUUCUAAACUUGCAUCACAAACGAUACAAGAGCAAAAUACAUGAAGACUCAAACCCUAAAAAUCUAAACUUUUUAGUAUGGCGGCUUGAAUGAACAAUUAGGUCUUGAAGUCUUCUUUAUAUACUGAAGCAGCUUGGGCUAAAUAAUUAGUUGGGCUUCAGCACAAAGCAGAUCGGUUCAGCUA
rnacentral:lncRNA from 1 species